rnacentral:misc_RNA from 1 species
GGAGAAUCGAGGUGAAAGAAAAAAAAGUAGAUGAUAAAAAGAACGUAAAGAAUAUCCAUAUGGAAAGGAUUCUUACAACUCUUUUGUAUAAGUGUUUCCCCAUCCUCUCUUCACAAGUAUUUUCACAUGUGUAUACACUAUCACUCUUUUUUCUCUAUAUACAAUGCCCUGAAUUUCCAGAGACAGAAUUGGCUCAAUUUUCCGCUGCUGGUUUAUUUUGUUAUGGUUGUUGAACAAAUAGUUAAAAAUAUUGAGCUAAUUAUCCAAAAUGUAAGAACACCAGAAUAUCGGUUUCCUGAACGGGCAAAACUUCUUACCCAAGCCUGCAACAGCUGGGUGAACUACAUUGGGCUCAUUGUGUCAACUGAUUAAUUAGCAUUCAAGAAAUUGGGGGUUUUCCAUUGAGCUUGGCCAGCUGCAACCCGUAGACCAUCCCAAAACACCCAAAAUCAGAUCCACACUCGAGCACACCUUAACCAAAUUAUCAAGGUUCCCUUCAAUGUGAAACAACAUCACAGCCAUCCCCCUUCCUCUAUCAAUUUCAGCCUGGUCAUUGAAAGUUAAAGAUAUUGCAGGUCACAUAAUUAAGCAAAAAAAACAGAAAUCACAGUUCAAUGAGACAUUUAAUAAUUAUAAUCACUCACCACACAGGAACAUAUAGCUAUACCUACAGCUGCCAAUGCUGUUGUAACCUCAGCCAUUAUGCCUGACAAUAAUGUUUCUAUAAGUAUGGGUUAAACAUAAAAUUAGGACGACUGGGGUUUAAUACUUGAAACCAUGUCACUAUCAGAAAAUGAUUCAGAAGUGACACACGAAAUUUGCAUAAACCCCUUGACAGAGCAGGUAAGUUAAACAUGUCAGGUUUGACUAAAGGGAAAAUUACCUCUUCGAUCUAUGCAUACAACACAAAACCACUGGAUUGAGUGUCCUUCCAGACUGUGCCAAGAGGCAACCUUGCUGGCAUGCCAACUUUCUAAACCAGGCAAGACUUCCUUGUGCAUUGGAAUGUUUAACUCUAUCAAUUUGGCAACAUCGUUUCCCUGUGAUAAUAACUCUCCCUUGGCCUCCAUACUUACCUGUUGCAAAUGCUUAUUAUGUUUCCCAUUGACCUUGGGGACCCAAACACUUCCAUUGUUAGAAGGCAUGAGCAGAUCUUCCGAACAUUUUCCUUGAGAUGACUUCCCCACAACCUUCCUAAAGAUUUUCUCCCACAAAGUUCUAUUCCAUUCAGUAUUACCUGGGAGUUCUUCUACUUCACUCUCCUCUUCAGAAUCAGCUAUAAAGUCAUUUAAUGUAUCUGCUGUUAUUUCAGCAGCAGAUAAUGUAGCUUGCUCCCUUAGGAAUUUCAUAAUUUUGUGUCUGGCACUAUGUGUUUUUGCAUGUUGCAGCCAUUGUUUAUGCCUCUGAAAAGCUGAUUUGCUAGAGAGUGCCUGAGGAAACAAUAAAGUUUUGAGAAUAGCAGAACAAAGCAUUAAUGGUACACAAGUUAACUUACAUGCGCAUGAGCAACUAGGUGAAAUGAUCCAAGGCAAGAAUCAAGUUGUGUUUCCAAAUCUAAUAACAAAAAAAAUAAGCAGAGAAAUAUGGUAUCUCUGUAUUUCCUAAUCAUGCAAGGAAAUUAUGCCUCCAGAAAAUCUAAAUAUAAAAAAAAAAAAUACUAUAGGUUCUCUUCAUAAUAAGAGGGAUGAUAAUUACUAACAUUAUAGGUGAUUAUCUCCACGACUUCUGCAUUGGCAAGUACAUGCAUUGGAGAAACAAGAUUACCAUUGACCUGGAAAAAGCGGAGUAGUUAGGCCAUUUUUCUUAUAGUACCUUUUUUUUAACCUUUUCAUUUAAUUCAUUUUUCCAUAGAAAAAUGUACAAAGUAUGUUUACCUAAUGAAACUUCAAAACUCUCUUCUAAACUCAAAAAAUUAGCGAAGGACAAUCUCCAAUUUUCCUUUGAAUUUGGUAACUUCAUUAGCCAUUUUUCCAAACUCAAAAAGAAAAUCUUACAUUCCAGUUCUUAAUUAAAUUUGGACAACCCAGUUUUUUAUUUUUCCCAAAUUUGAAAAGAAAAUUUUGAAUGCUAGUUUAUAGUUUUCCAAAUUCUAUAUCAAAUUUAAAAAGUGGAAAAUUUGGUUAUCCAAGGUAGUGGUUCAACCUUUGCUUCUUUGCUUCAUAAAGAGUACCAUUUAACAAAUCUUGAUUCUCAUACAAAAGAAAAAGUUUUUUUUUUUGCCUUUUUAAAAAAUAUUUCGCGCGCAAACACGUUUCAAAUAGAAAAGUUAAAAGUAUAUUUGAACAACUUUAGCAAAGCUAACCAAACAGUGCCUGAGAAAAGAAAAUUUUCUUUUUGGCUUGGUAAACAUAUUUUCUAACAGUUUCCCAUUUUCUCAGUUCUUUUGUAAGUAAUUACGCCCUUAGACUUCAAAUCUUUGUUGUCUUAAGAAUUGCAAAUGAACAUGACAUCAAUCAAAUUGAAAAAGAAGACCUUUGCAGCCACCAUCUUGUUGCCAAUUUCAGUGUGUAUCAUAUAAGCAUAGUCGAUCACAGUUGCACCUUUUGGCAAAUUUUUUAUCUCUCCCCUCGGUGUAAACACAAAGACACGGCUUCCUAAAAGAUCCCUAGUGAUGGUUUCUACAAAUUCUCUGGAGCUCAUAUUGCCAACAAAUUCCUCUUGCCAUUCUCUAAUUGCAUUGAGCCAGCCAAUCUGAAGGAAAGAAAGGACUUCACCAUGAAAUUAAUAUCAAGGUCAGGGCGCUUAAAAUGGUUUUCUACAAGUUCCUCAAGGAUGUCUCCUAACUGUCACAAUUUAUUAACAGAAAAAAAUUAACAUACCCUGAGUGCAAUGUUUGCAUUGUUAAGACACACUGUCUUCCCUCUUGAACUUCUACCAUUAGGCAGUGCAUGUCCAACUAAACCUGUAACAAAUACUCUCCCACUAUAAUGAGCAGCAAUGCCUCUCUCAGCUAUCAGAUCCAUCUCUUCAGUUCUAAUCUGUUGAAAAUGCAUCAGCCUUCUUUAUGUAACUAAAUAUGCAACAAGUAACCAAAUCAAUACUUCAGAAAGAUAAUAGAGAAGUUCCUUGAAAUACACAAUAAAAAUCUAUAAAAUUUUGCCAAGGAGAGGCCCGGAGAGGGAAAUUGACUCUUCUGCAGGAUACAGUUACAGCUAGAAAACUGAAGAAAAAACAAACAAAGAAAAGAACGAAAGCCAAAGCAAGCCCUUACUUCCUCCAUAGCAAGUAAAAAGUGAAACUUGGUAACAAAUGAACAUAGAAUAGUACCUGAACCUCCAGUCGAAGCAUGCUUUCAUACAGAAAUGGAAUUACAGUUGUAUGAAGACUUUGAUAACCAUUAGGCUUUGGGGUUGCAAUAUAGUCUUUCAUAGCUCUAGGAAUAGGGGUCCAGAUUCCGUGGACUAAGCCAAGGACAUGGUAGCAUAUCUGCUGUGGAUUGCACAGAGGCCCAACUCCAAUACACGGCUUUGGCUUUAUGAUAAUUCGCAGCUGUGCAAUUUGGUUAACUUCACUGAUCGAACCUUUAGAUUUAAGUACCGCUUUGUAAAGACUGUAAGGCUCCUUACAUGCAGAGCGAACUUCAGUCUUCACAGUCAUAAGGUCAAGGAACUGAUCAUCCAAUAUCUUUUUCUUCAAAAUUUUGUUUGCCUCCAUGAGCUCUUUCUCAUGUUCUUUAUAGAGGUCUGCAACUCUCAUCUUGACCUUAGCAUAAGCCUCAGGAUUUGUAUACAUGAAUGAAAGAUUUUCAAGCUCAGACUUUAUUUGAUACAUUCCUAGCAGUUUUGAAAGAGGAGCAAAGACCUGAAGUGUUUCCAUUGCAAUGCUGGACUGCUUACGUGGAGGCAUAUGCGAAAGAGUGCGCAUGUUAUGUAACCUGUCAGCUAAUUUGACAAUAAUUACACGCACCUCCUCUGUCAUGGCAAGAAACAUCUGCCGUAGGUCAUCAGCUUUUACAUCUUUUACUGAAUCACUUUCAUUCUUACACUUUAAUUUUCCCAAUUUGGAUACCUUAGUCUCUCCUUCUACAAUGCGGCGUACAGUGGGACCAAAUUCCUCCUCUAUUCUCUCAAAAGUAACAACAUUUGUAUCUUCAACAGUAUCAUGCAGCAAUCCAGCAGCAAUUGACUCCCAAUCCAAUUCAAGUUCUCCUAGAAUGCGUGCAACUUCAACUGGAUGUAUGAUGAAUGGCUCUCCACUGCGUCUUUUCUGUCCAUCAUGAGCCUCAAAAGCCAGCUUGAGAGCAUUCUGGACCAGUUCCAAUUCUUUUGGUGAAAGGUAUGAAAUGGUAGGCCUAAGAACCUCCCACAGUGUUUCAGCAGAAAACUCAUUGAAGGCACCCGAGGAAAUGGACGAAGAACAAAAAAAUUGCCAUCUUUGACCAGCAACAUGAAGCAUUCCAGAUUUAAUGAGUCUCCCAAGCAGUGAAGAUCCAAAAGCUUCAAUUGAAUGACAGCUUCCUAUAUCAAAGACUUCACAUUUAGAUUUGAACUGAUUCCUUCUUCCGUUUCGCCCAGAUAAGAAUGACGAAGACUGAGGAGGAUGCGCAGUGCUGGCAAGAAACCCCGUCAAGAUUCGAGGAGCUUUCCACGCACAAGAGAGCACGCUACAGUCAUAUCUGCCGCUGCCAUCUCCUUUCGAUAAUUUACAUAUGUUUACGCAUUCCAAGGAUACUGACAAGGAAGAAGCAGAAGCCAUUUCUAGAGCGAAGCAAUCUCAUUGAAUUUUAAGACGAUACAAAGAUGGAAAUUAGGAGAAGUAGAGCUGGAUAGCACGAAUCAGCAUUUACACGAAUUUACCAGAGAGAAAGACGGCCUGCUGCAGCAAGAAUCUGUUUGGUGAACUGAAAAGCCUGACGUUUUGGUAUCGCAAAGCUUAGGAUUUUGGACAAAUAAGCGAUGGAUUUGAACGACGGAGCUGAAGUGAUAAUCUAUAGAGAGAGAGAGAGAGAGA